rnacentral:lncRNA from 1 species
CAAUAACAUGCAUGAAUCAUUUGUGAAUACCUCUUCCUUUUUCCCUCUGGAAAACUUAAAUUAGGUUUUUUAUAACCAUAACUAAUGUCGUGGAACUUAUGCAUCCCCUCCAAAAGGUGUAGCAUUAUUUGGCUCUAUUACAAAUUCUUACAAGUCAUAUACUGAUCACAAAUUAAACCAUCAGAUCAAUAUUGUCAUAAUAGACACUGCAACUAUGCAAAUCACUCGGUAAACACUUAUCUUUUCCGCUUGUGUGGUUCGUCUGUGAACAAUGAAAAACAUUAGUGAAAAGGUCUCAGUAUAUAGCUAGUAUAAAGAAAAUGUAAGCAUAGUUUAGAAUGUGUGCAAUCUCGGUGAAAAUCAAGAUCAAAAUGUGGCAUGUAGAAAUUGCAAAAACCUAAAUCAAUCAUACAUAAAUCCCAUAAAUUUGAUUAUGCAGAACCAAUUAUAAAACAAUUAAGUUCUGCUCCAAUUGUAUUAAUGUGCCUUAAUUUACCUUUUCCUUACGAGGAUAAGCAACUGGAUUACGACUGGCUUCCCUGAGAUUCUCGACAGACCCAAAAUUACUAUCUAAGUAUUGUUCGUUAAUAAUGAUCAGGGAACAAUGUACAUAGAAAGUAAGCACAACACAAGGGAACAAUGCAGACACAUACAUGUAUUUCAACAAGUCAGUAGCCGCAGAUUAUGCAACGCUCAAAUUCUAUUUGACCAUAAUUCUCUUCAGUAUCAAGGUUCAUGAAACAAGUGCUAUCAAGGAUUAAAUCUUUGUUUAAAUUGACAUAGGGGACAUUAAAAUUAAUUAAAGAGACACUGAACAUUCAUUUUAAAACUUUUGUGGAUAUGUUCGUCAAAAAAAANNNNNNNNNNNNNNNAAAAAAAAAAAAAAAAAACUUUUGUGGAUAAAUAACAUAUGUUGCAGUUUAUAGCAUAAAGGCUUAUUAUAUAAAGCAUUUAUGAAUAAGCUAUUUCUAUUUUCAUAUAAUCUGUGUUAUUCUCAUAAUCUAACCUGGAGAGGUUAUGAAAAAUAAGCUGAAAACAACUUAUGAACAUUCUCUCAGACAAUGUCAUAAGUGUUUAUGUUAGUAGAUAAACUCAAAUAAGUUAAUCAAACACGUAGGUUACAAGCUAAGCUUUUACCGUGAGCUGACACCUUACAGACAAUUGCGGUUUAAAUACUUGAUGAUUGAAAUUGAUUAGUAAAGCAAUAAUUUGAGGCGAACAAUAAAUAUUAAAAAGAAAGAAACUAAGAAGGCAUAGCUUCAUGAUCAAGCCAAAACCUUCGUUGAAUCACUAGUGGAAAAAACACUUCUUAGGUCGGUUAGAAUCGACUUCUUAAGUCGGUUCCGAGCAUGACCUAACAAUUCCAGUCAUAAGAAGUAUUGACUUCUUAAGUCUGAUUUGGACCUGACUUAAGAAACGCUUUUUAAGUCGGUUAAAAUGACGUUUUAAGUCUGUCCCGUACCUGACUUAAGAAAAGGCAACAUAAGAAGUUUGAAGAAUAUGCCCAGGCAACACAUUUGGUUUGAU